GGGGCAAUGGGGGUCGCGCUUACUAUGCAGUCGACGCUGAAGCACCAGCUUGCUGGUGUGGAUGAGUGGCGAACGGGUGAGUAAUACGUGAGUAACCUGCCCUUGACUCUGGGAUAAGCCCGGGAAACUGGGUCUAAUACUGGAUGCUACAUGUCACCGCAUGGUGGUGUGUGGAAAGGUUUUACUGGUCUUGGAUGGUCUCACGGCCUAUCAUCUUGUUGGUGAGGUAAUGGCUCACCAAGGCGACCACGGGUAGCCGGCCUGAGAGGGUGACCGGCCACACUGGGACAGACACACGGCCCACAGUCCCGCUGGAGGCAGCCGUGUGGAAUAUUGCGCAGUUGGCGAGCGCCUGAUGCAGCGAGGCCGCGUGAGGUCCGGCUGGCUUCGGGUCGUGCACCUCUCCCAGCAGGGAAGAGGCCACAUGUGACGGUACCUGCAGAGGACGCGCCUGCUAACUACGUGCCAGCAGCCGCGAUAAUACGUAGGGCGCGCGGGGUGUCCGGAAUUAUUGCGCGUAAAGAGCUCUAGCGCUGUUUGUCGCGUCUGCUGUGAAAGCCGGGGUCCUAACCCGGGUUUUGCAGUGUGUACGGGCAGACUAGAGUGCAGUAGGGGGGACUGGAACUCCUGGUGUAGCGGUGGAAUGCGCAGAUAUCAGGAGGAACACCUGAUGGCGGAGGCAGGUCUCUGGGCUGUUACUGACGCUGAGGAGCGAAAGCAUGGGGAGCGAACAGUAUUAGAUCACCCUGGUAGCUCAUGGCGUAAACGUUGGGCACUAGGUGUUGGGGGGACAUUCCACGUUUCCCGGCGCCGUAGCUAACGCAAUAAGUGGCCCGGCUGGGGGUUCCGGGCCCGCAAGGCUAAAACUCAAAGGAAUUGGCGGGGGGCCGCACAAGGGGCGGAGCAUGGGGAAUAAUUCGAUGGCGCGCGGGAGAACCUUACCCAGGCUUGAGCAUAUAACCGGACCGCUCCAGAGAUGUUUCUCCCCCUUUGGGGCCGGAAACCGUGUGGCGCGAGGUUGUCGCCCGCCCUUGCCGAGAGAUGUUGGGUUAAGUCCCGCAACGGGCGCAACCCCCGUCCCGUGUUGCCAGCGCGUGAUGGUGGGGACUCAUUGGAGACUGCGGGGGUCAACUCGGAGGAGGGUGUGGCAGACGUCGCCUCAUCAUGCCCCUUAUGUCUUGGGCUUCACGCAUGCUACAAUGGCCGGUACAAAGGGUUGCGAUACUGUGAGGUGGAGCUAAUCCCAAAAAGCCGGUCUCAGUUCGGAUUGAGGUCUGCAACUCGACCUCAUGAAGUCGGAGUCGCUAGUAAUCGCAGAUCAGCAACGCUGCGGUGAAUACGUUCCCGGGCCUUGUACACACCGCCCGUCAAGUCACGAAAGUCGGUAACACCCGAAGCCGGUGGCCCAACCCUUGUGGAGGAGCCGUCGAAGGUGGACCUCCCAAUUCCCA
rnacentral:rRNA from 1 species